GACGAACGCUGGCGGCGUGCUUAACACAUGCAAGUCGAACGAUGAACCCGGAGCUUGCUCCGGUGAAUUAGUGGCGAACGGGUGAGUAACACGUGGGUAACCUGCCCAUAAGACUGGGAUAACUCCGGGAAACCGGGGCUAAUACCGGAUAACAUUUUGAACCGCAUGGUUCGAAAUUGAAAGGCGGCUUCGGCUGUCACUUAUGGAUGGGCCCGCGUCGCAUUAGCUAGUUGGUGAGGUAACGGCUCACCAAGGCAACGAUGCGUAGCCGACCUGAGAGGGUGAGCGGCCACACUGGGCGUGAGACACGGCGCAGACGCCUACGGGAGGCAGCAGUAGGGAAUCUUCCGCAAUGGACGAAAGUCUGACGGAGCAACGCCGCGUGAGUGAUGAAGGCUUUCGGGUCGUAAAACUCUGUUGUUAGGGAAGAACAAGUGCUAGUUGAAUAAGCUGGCACCUUGACGGUACCUAACCAGAAAGCCACGGCUAACUACGUGCCAGCCGCCGCGGUAA
rnacentral:rRNA from 1 species